GGCCUACCAUGGUGGUAACGGGUAACGGGGUGUUAGGGCACGACACCGGAGAGGGAGCCUGAGAAACGGCUACCACAUCCAAGGAUGGCAGCAGGCGCGCAAAUUACCCAAUCCCGACACGGGGAGGUAGUGACAAUAAAUAACAAUACGGGGUUCUUUCGGAUCUCGUAAUUGGAAUGAGUACAAUUUAAAUCUCUUAACGAGGAACAAUUGGAGGGCAAGUCUGGUGCCAGCAGCCGCGGUAAUUCCAGCUCCAAUAGCGUAUAUUAAAGUUGUUGCAGUUAAAAAGCUCGUAGUUGAAUUUCGGGACCAAUUUGUUGGUCGUGCCUCGGUACGUACUGGUAUUAUUGGUUUCUCCCUUCUGAAGAACCUCGAUGUCAUUAAUUUGGUGUCGUGGGGAAUCAGGACUGUUACUUUGGAAAAAUUAGAGUGUUUAAAGCAGGCAUACGCUUGAAUACAUUAGCAUGGAAUAAUGAAAUAGGACGUUUGAUUCUAUUUUGUUGGUUUCUAGGAUCGACGUAAUGAUUAAUAGGGAUAGUUGGGGGCAUUAGUAUUCAAUUGUCAGAGGUGAAAUUCUUGGAUUUAUUGAAGACUAACUACUGCGAAAGCAUUUGCCAAGGAUGUUUUCAUUAAUCAAGAACGAAAGUUAGGGGAUCGAAGACGAUCAGAUACCGUCGUAGUCUUAACCAUAAACUAUGCCGACUAGGGAUCGGAUGAUGUUAAUUUUUUAAUGACUCAUUCGGCACCUUACGGGAAACCA
rnacentral:rRNA from 1 species